rnacentral:rRNA from 1 species
UACGGGGGGGGCAAGCGUUGUUCGGAAUUACUGGGCGUAAAGGGCGCGUAGGCGGCCUUCUAAGUCGGACGUGAAAUCCCUCGGCUUAACCGAGGAACUGCGUCCGAUACUGAAAGGCUUGAAUCCGGGAGAGGGAUGUGGAAUUCCAGGUGUAGCGGUGAAAUGCGUAGAUAUCUGGAGGAACACCGGUGGCGAAGGCGGCCCCCUGGUUGGAUACUGACGCUGAUACGCGAAAGCGUGGGGAGCAAACAGG